AAGACAAAAGUGAAAACUAGAUAGAAAACGAACUAAAGUCAACCCAAUCUGAACUUACACUACUGCAAUAGCUACAAUAAAAUAGUAGGAAAUAGAAAUCAGAAAACUAAAGAAAGGAUUAAGGUUCCAAUUAGGGUCCCAAACUGUGAAACUUCAGUUAUAAGUUCAGAGGCAUAACGACAUAUGAAAGCUAAACACUAUUGAUUCUGAAUUGACCAAUCAAUUAAUCAACGAAACUACACUGAUAAAAAUAAAACUAACACGAAGAACACCAUAGAAAUAUCACAAAUGAAUCAGAUCAAUAUAACCAAACUAAAUGAAUAAUUAGUCGAGAAGCUAAUCAAUUGAUCUUAGUCUCAUAUGAUACAACAAAACUAAACACUGUGAGCAACUAAAGGGCUAACCAAAAAUGACAUACAACAUCAGAAGAAUAAUGGAAACUCGAUGAAUCACUACUCAAAUGUAUAUGAAAAACAUAACAUGAAUGAAAAUUAAACUCUAAGCCUAAUGCAAAAAUAAUAUAACAAAACAAACAAAAUAAGAGGGGGGAAAAAUCAGAAAGUGGAAAGAGGGAGCAAUGUUUUAUCACAUAAGUCAUCCGAUGCUAACUUGAGCCACCAAAAGAUGAAGCAAACCCCAAGAAGCGACUGUCCGACCCCGAAACAUAGAUUUCUUUUUAGUAGAUGCCAAAUCAAAUAUGUUUUGGAAUCAUACUUGAAAGAAAUAUGGGUCUUUGGGUCGAGUAGUCCAGAAGAUAAAGGGUAAGUGGUGGUGUGGUAUUGGCAGCGACGGGUGGUGGCAAUAACGGCAGAACAGAUUUUGGGGGUUAAAUUAAAGGGGAAGUGUAUCUUCUAGAAAUAUAUAUAUGAAUAUAUAAGGCUUGUGUGGUGGGGAUGAUUGGUAUGUCACUAAUUUGAGAAAAAAAAUGGGCGACUAGGGUUUCAGAUUUGGCUAGAUUUGUAGAGUUUGGUGAGGAUUUCAGGGAUUUGGGAUUUGGAUAUGAAAGAGGAGGAAUAGACAAAGAGAUAGUGAAAAAUGGGAUUGAUUGGACGUUGUUCGCCGGCGGUGGCAAUAUUCGGCCAGCGGAAUAGGGGCGGCGACAGGAGGAGCAGGUAGAGGGGGGGGAGAGAGUGAUAAGAGAGAUGAAGAAGAAAGGGAGAUAUAAGGGGAAAUGGGGCCAAUUUUUAGAUUUUUGAGGCUUUAAAU
rnacentral:lncRNA from 1 species